GUUAGAAACAGCUCCACUGUAUAUUUGCUUGCAGCAGAAGCAUCUUUAGGAAUGAAGUCAAACAGGCUUUGUUUUGUAAUGUACAGGGAAAUUAAGUUCUUAAAAUGUCCUAUUUUCCCUGCCCACGCAACAAAACAGAGCACAAAGCCAGUUGACCUGAAGAUUAGAGAUGGGUGAAUCUGUCAAUUUCAGUUUCUCUGUUUUUAAUUUUUCCAGUCUGAAGUUCUCCACAUUUCCACACCAGCCCCUGUAGUAUUUCCUCACUUCCCUUUAUCAGCACUUUGUCCUCUUAUCUUCAGAGAGAUCAUUGACUUUCUGCACCUUGUGACAACUUCGUUAGAGCUAUUUCCUCAACUUUGCUGGAAGACGAGCUCCAUCAGGAGCCUCCUUCACCUGAACUGUCUCUAUGCCAGCUAGAAAGCUAUAAGAGAACAGGUGCCUGAGUUUGCUUCCACCCCCCAUUUCCUUCCCUGUCCCCUUGCGUGUC